rnacentral:rRNA from 1 species
ACUCCUACGGGAGGCAGCAGUGGAAGUAUUGCACAAUGGGGAAACCUGAUGCAGCCAUGCCGCGUGUGUGAAGAAGGCCUUGGGUUGUAAAGCACUUUCAGUAGGGAGGAAGGUAGUGUAGUUAACACCUGCAUUAUUUGACGUUACCUACAGAAGAAGCACCGGCUAACUCCGUGCCAGCAGCCGCGGUAAUACGGAGGGUGCGAGCGUUAAUCGGAAUUACUGGGCGUAAAGCGCAUGCAGGCGGCCUGUUAAGUCAGAUGUGAAAGCCCGGGGUCUUAACCUCGGAAUUGCAUUUGAAACUGGUAGGCUAGAGUCUUGUAGAGGGGUUAGAAUUUCAGGUGUAGCGGUGAAAUGCGUAGAGAUCUGAAGGAAUACCGAGUGGCGAAGGCGGCCCCUGGACAAAGCUGACGCUCAGAUGCGAAAGCGU